rnacentral:rRNA from 1 species
GUAGGGGAGCAAGCGUUGUUCGGAAUCAUUGGGCGUAAAGAGCGCGUAGGUGGCUUGGGUAAGUCUGUUGUGAAAGCCCACAGCUCAACUGUGGAACUGCGACAGAAACUGCCUGGCUAGAGUGCGGGAGAGGAAAGUGGAAUUCCCAGUGUAGAGGUGAAAUUCGUAGAUACUGGGAGGAACACCGGUGGCGAAGGCGGCUUUCUGGACCGCAACUGGCGCUGAGGCGCGAAAGCUAGGGGAGCGAACGGGAUUAGAUACCCCGGUAGUCCUAGCCGUAAACGAUGGGCACUAGGUGUAGGGGGUAUCGACCCCUUCUGUGCCGUAGCUAACGCAUUAAGUGCCCCGCCUGGGGAGUACGGUCGCAAGACUA